rnacentral:rRNA from 1 species
CCUACGGAAGGCUGCAGUGGGGAAUAUUGCACAAUGGGCGAAAGCCUGAUGCAGCGACGCCGCGUGAGCGAUGAAGGCUUUCGGUACGUAAAGCUCUGUCCUCAAGGAAGAUAGUGACGGUACUUGAGGAGUAAGCCCCGGCUAACUACGUGCCAGCAGCCGCGGUAAUACGUAGGGGGCUAGCGUUAUCCGGAUUUACUGGGCGAAAAGGGUGCGUAGGCGGUUUCUUAAGUCGGAGGUGAAAGCCUACGGCUCAACCGUAGUAAGCCUUUGAAACUGGGGAACUUGAGUGCAGGAGAGGAGAGUGGAAUUCCUAGUGUAGCGGUGAAAUGCGUAGAUAUUAGGAGGAACACCAGUGGCGAAGGCGGCUCACUGGACUGUAACUGACGUUGAGGCACGAAAGCGUGGGGAGUAAACAGGAUUAGAUACCCUAGUAGUC